rnacentral:rRNA from 1 species
GACGAACGCUGGCGGCGUGCCUAAUACAUGCAAGUCGAACGCAGUGGGGACGGGUGAGUACCACGUGGGUAACCUCCCAUCAGAGGGGAUAACACUUGGAAACAGGUGCUAAACCGAUACUGAUGGAUGGACCCGCGGUGCAUUAGCUAGUUGGUGAGGUAACGGCUCACCAAGGCCACGAUGCAUAGCCGACCUGAGAGGAGGAUCGGCGACACGGGGACUGAGACACGGCCCAGACGCCUACGGGAGGCAGCAGAAGGGAAUCGGCGGCAAUGGAGGAAAGUCUGACCUAGCAACGCCGCGUGGGUGAAGAAGGUUUUCGGAUCGUAAAGCUCGGUUGUUAGAGAUGCGGUAUCUAACCAGAAAGCCACGGCUAACUACGUGCCAGCAGCCGCGGUAAUAC